rnacentral:snRNA from 1 species
AGAUGUGAGGGCGAUCUGGCUGCGACAUCUGUCACCCCAUUGAUCGCCAGGGUUGAUUUGGCUGAUCUGGCUGGCUAGGCGGGUGUCCCCUUCCUCCCUCACUGCUCCAUGUGCAUCCCUCCUGAAGCUGCGUGCUCAGUCGAAGAGGACGACCUUCCCCGAUAGAGACGUACCGUUCAUCGGUCAAGGGUAUACGGUAGCUGUGCUCCCCUGCUAGAACCUCCAAACAAGCGCAAGGUCCAUUUGUAGGAGAACAUAGGGUAGUCAAGCUUCCAAGACUGCAGACACAUCCAAGUGAGGCACUGCAUGGGGCAGUCUGCUGUUGUU